rnacentral:rRNA from 1 species
UACAGAGGUCUCAAGCGUUGUUCGGAUUCAUUGGGCGUAAAGGGUGUGUAGGUGGCGCGCUAAGUCGGGUGUGAAAUUUCGGAGCUUAACUCCGAAACUGCAUUCGAUACUGGCGUGCUUGAGGACUGGAGAGGAGACUGGAAUUCAUGGUGCAGCAGUGAAAUGCGUAGAGAUCAUGAGGAAGACCAGUGGCGAAGGCGGGUCUCUGGACAGUGCCUGACACUGAGACACGAAGGCCAGGGGAGCAAACGGG